AUGGCUCGUUUCAAUUCUGCUUUACUCAUCAUCACUAUGCUUUUCUUGACCAUGUAUUCCUUACCAUCUUCUAUAGAUGCUCGAAAGAUUCUCAAAAUGGAGACACAAGAGGUGCCUUCUUCAAAGGGUACCCUACCUUUAACUGAUGUUAUUAAUAAUCUCAACAUUUAUAGAAAUGGAAGAGUCGUUGCUCAUCUUGCCAACAAUGGAAGAGUUCUUGUAUCUUCUGUUCCUAGCCCAGGUGCUGGAAACUAG